GAAAUGUUCUUCCACUCCUUUAUCUUUUGAAAAUUUACUGAAGUUUUUGUAGAUUUGUCUUUUAUUUUAAAUGCGCAGAUUGACCAAUUAGUUGACGCAAUAUUUCCUAUAAUAACCAAAUAUUUACACUAGUAGAAAUAGUAAUAGAUGAUUAAAAUUAUAAAAGCAUUUCCUUUAGCGCGACUUUUUAAUGUUACACGAAAAAAGUACUACGUGUGUAUUUGGGGCCAUAUAUUAAGGGAAAAAUAAUGAAAAAAUAUUUGAUAAUUAUUUCAUAUAUUAAAUCUAAAAAAACUGUAUGUUGCCAAAUGGCUACAGUGCGCGUUCCAGCCUACUACAGCUGCAUAUAAAGUAAGUUAUGAUAUAUUAGGUUUUUUGUAAUUAUGAAUUACAAACCAUGAAAUUCACCUAAAGUGCUUAUUACACUACGCGGUCUUACUAAGACUGUCUUAAAAUCUAACUAGACAAGCUCGCUAUUACACUGUGCUGAAUAUCGCAUGCUAACUCAUUUGCAAGGCGUACGUAGUCGGUGACGGUUGUCGCGCGAUGGGAAAACUUUCAAAGCACCAGAAAAUCGCCAUAGCUCUUGCCGCAUCUAUUAAUUUAAAUACAAAAAAGAAAAGAAAAAUAUGGGUGAAAGAGUAUUUACUUUUACGAGAAAAAUUAUCAAAUAUGCAAAUACUGAGUGUUCUGGAACCAUGUGACUUAAGAAACUACCUUAGAGUAGGAGUUGCCGAGUUUGAAUGUCUUUUGAAAUUAGUUACUCCGUAUAUUCAAAAAGAAGAUACGAUUCUUAGACAAAGUGUCAGUGCUAAACAAAGAUUGGUAGUUACUUUAAGAUUCCUGGCAACGGGCAACUCCUAUCAAGACCUAAGGUUCAGCUCUUUGAUAUCGCAACCUCUUUUAUCGUCAAUUAUACCAGAAACAUGCCGGGCUAUCUACAAAUGCUUAAAACAUUUGAUCAAGAUACCUGAAAAUGAGACAGAAUGGACAGAAAUUGCUGAGGAAUUCGAAACAAAAUGGAAUUUCAGUCACUGUAUUGGAUCAUGUGAUGGGAAGCAUAUCGCCAUCGAAAAAUCCCCCGGAAGUGGCUCUUUGUUCUAUAAUUAUAAGGGAUUCUUCAGUAUAGUGCUGUUUGCUGUUGUAAACGCUAACUACGAAUUCAUGUAUAUACAUACACACAGGCACCAAUGGAUCCGUUGCAGAUGGAGCAAUUUUAAAAUGUACAAAAUUUUAUAAGAAAAUGAUGAACAAUUCUUUAAAUUUGCCAUCUCCAUCUCCACUACCAGGCACAAACGAAAUUGUACCAUACGUGUUUCUGGGGGAUAGUGCAUUCGCAUUAAAUAAAAAUUUAAUGAAACCGUUUCCUUUUAAAAAUAUUAAUCGUUCACAAAGGAUUUUUAAUUAUCGAUUAUCGCGAGCCAGAAGAGUGGUUGAAAAUGCCUUUGGCAUAUUAAGUUCCCGUUUCAGAAUACUGCGUAGACCACUUGAUCUAGAUCUGGACAAUGUGGAUGCUGUAGUGUUGGCAUGUUGCGCUCUGCAUAACUUUCUGAGGAAACGAGUACCAACUUAUAUAUCUCAUUCUAAUAUUGACUCAGAAAAUAUAAGACUGGGUACGUUUCGCGAAGGAGAUUGGAGACAAACCUCUGCACCCUUAGUUUCAUUACAGCGUUCAUCAAAUAGGCAGCGUAAUGAAGAUGGCAACAUUGUUCGCAAUAAAUUCAUGGACUAUUUCAAUUCUGUUGGACGUGUUAGUUUCCAAGACCGAAUGAUUGAUGUUGUACCACCAUAAUAUUUGUUGUACCUACCAUUUUAUCUGAUUAAAUAAUGCUUAGUAAAAAAUAAAA